AUGUUCCUGAUUUUAUACAGACUGCCAUGACUCCCUACGUAAAGAACAUUCACAAAUAAGCUGAUGGAUCUUGCUGUAGGUGAUACCAUCUGUGUCACAACAGGAAGGGGAAUGGAAUGAAAGGAGGCUCUGCAGAGAUCAGCUAUCACAGACCUAGAGAGUGGGAAGAAGUUUCCAGACACCAUGAGAGGCAUGAACGUG